rnacentral:rRNA from 1 species
GAGCGGAGAUAUAUGGAGCUUGCUUUAUAUAACUUAGCAGCGAACGGGUGAGUAACACGUAGAUAAUCUAUCCUAUACUGGGGGAUAGCCCGAUGAAAGUUGGAUUAAUACCGCAUAUAGCUAUAUAGUUGCAUGAUUAUGUAGUGAAAGAUUUAUUGGUAUAGGAGGAGUCUGCGGCACAUUAGCUAGUAGGUGAGGUAAAGGCUUACCUAGGCGACGAUGUGUAGCCGGUCUGAGAGGAUGAACGGCCACAAUGGAACUGAGACACGGUCCAUACUCCUACGGGAGGCAGCAGUGGGGAAUAUUGCACAAUGGGGGAAACCCUGAUGCAGCAACGCCGCGUGAGUGAAGAAGGUUUUCGGAUUGUAAAGCUCUGUUAGCAGGGAAGAGGAAGGACGGUACCUGCAGAGGAAGCCACGGCUAACUACGUGCCAGCAGCCGCGGUAAUACGUAGGUGGCAAGCGUUGUUCGGAAUAACUGGGCGUAAAGGAUGCGUAGGCGGUUAAACAAGUUAUAUGUUAAAUAUAUAGGCUUAACCUGUAGAAAGCAUAUAAAACUGUUUAACUAGAGUGCAGGAGAGGUAAGUGGAAUUCCUAGUGUAGCGGUGAAAUGCGUAGAGAUUAGGAAGAACACCAGUGGCGAAGGCGACUUACUGGACUGUAACUGACGCUGAGGCAUGAGAGCAUGGGGAGCAAACAGGAUUAGAUACCCUGGUAGUCCAUGCUGUAAACGAUGGGUACUAGGUGUGGGUUGUGAAUAACAAUUCGUGCCGUCGCAUACGCAAUAAGUACCCCGCCUGAGGAGUACGAUCGCAAGA